rnacentral:rRNA from 1 species
GCUUGUCUCAAAGAUUAAGCCAUGCAUGUCUAAGUAUAAGUAUUAUACAGCGAAACUGCGAAUGGCUCAUUAAAACAGUUAUAGUUUACAUGAUAAUCGAAUUUACAUGGAUAACCGUGGUAAUUCUAGAGCUAAUACAUGCUGGCGUGCCCGACUUUUGCGGAAGGGCGGUAUUUAUUAGAUCCAACCAGCCCGGUUCGCCGGAGUCCCUGGUGAGUCAUAAUAACUGAGCGAAUCGCAUGGCCUUGUGCCGGCGAUGGUUCAUUCAAGUUUCUGCCCUAUCAGCUUUCGAUGGUAGGGUAUUGGCCUACCAUGGCGUUAACGGGUAACGGAGAAUUAGGGUUCGAUUCCGGAGAGGGAGCCUGAGAAACGGCUACCACAUCCAAGGAAGGCAGCAGG